UAAGGAAUAUUGGUCAAUGGACGCAAGUCUGAACCAGCCAUGCCGCGUGAAGGAUUAAGGUCCUCUGGAUUGUAAACUUCUUUUAUAUGGGACGAAAAAAGGUCUUUCUAGACCCCUUGACGGUACCAUAUGAAUAAGCACCGGCUAACUCCGUGCCAGCAGCCGCGGUAAUACGGAGGGUGCAAGCGUUAUCCGGAUUCACUGGGUUUAAAGGGUGCGUAGGCGGGUAGGUAAGUCAGUGGUGAAAUCCUGGAGCUCAACUCCAGAACUGCCAUUGAUACUAUCUAUCUUGAAUAUUGUGGAGGUAAGCGGAAUAUGUCAUGUAGCGGUGAAAUGCUUAGAUAUGACAUAGAACACCCAUUGCGAAGGCAGCUUACUACGCAUA
rnacentral:rRNA from 1 species